rnacentral:rRNA from 1 species
UACGGGGGGAGCAGGCGUUGUUCGGAUUUACUGGGCGUAAAGGGCGCGUAGGCGGCCACCGCAAGUCGACUGUGAAAUCUCCGGGCUUAACCCGGAAAGGUCAGCCGAUACUGCGGGGCUAGAGUGCAGAAGGGGCAACUGGAAUUCUCGGUGUAGCGGUGAAAUGCGUAGAUAUCGAGAGGAACACCUGCGGCGAAGGCGGGUUGCUGGGCUGACACUGACGCUGAGGCGCGAAAGCUAGGGGAGCGAACGGG